UUUCCGCCUUUCAUAUAUUUCCUUCAACAAGUUUUGUAGAAUAGCGAAGGAAAUCAUUAACUUCAAGUCUGAUGGUGUUCAAAAUCGAAAUCAACAUUUAUAGCGAAAACAGCAACGACGGUAAAAAGAAGUGGAGGGGCAAAAUUGUAAAAUAUGGUGAUGCGUGGCUGUUAACGAUGGCUGGUGAUGAAUCAUGUGGUGACUAGUGGUGGUGAGCGGUAGUAGCGGUGGAGGUGAGAUAGGAACAUUGUUGCUGUCAAAUAUGCCUUUUUUCUCCUUUUUCUUUUUUUCCUUUUCCUUUUUAUUAUUUUUCCUCAUAUAUUAUUGGUCUAUAUGUUUUGGUUUAUUUAUUGGGUGAUUAUAUUGACACCAUAAUUUUUAUUUGUUAUUCCGCAUUACCACAUUUUAAUAGCAGUUAAACUCCUUAAUCUUUAUUNAUUGAAAUAAUUAUUUCCUUAACCUUUUUUGUCGAAUUCUUAUCUUUAACCUUUCACUGAUUAAUAAUUAGUACAUCUCGUCUUUCAUAAUGAUUUAUAUCAAGAUAUUUUUUUAUGCUUUAAAAUGAGGGGAAAAUAUUUUUUUUGCAU
rnacentral:lncRNA from 1 species